CCAGGUGUUGUGAUGAUCCACACACAUAUGCAUAGUUCAUCUGAAUCUUUGUGAUGAAACUGCAAUUUUAGUCUUUCGCUCCCAUCUGACUGCACCUAA
rnacentral:snoRNA from 1 species